ACCCUUGAAAAACAAACAUAAAAUGUCCAUUUUAUGAAAGCUGAUUCGUCAGCUAUGGCAAUAAACGGCUUAUGAAAUAAGCGUUACGGACCCGGGGGCAGUGCCCGGCGUCUCCACCAUUUUUCUUUUACCUUUGUUAUCAGGGUGAUUUCUAUGGGGACGAAACAGGAUCGACGUGCGUAAUAAAGAUAUGCUUUUUGCUCGGCAUGGUACCACCGUUACCGGACUAAAACUCUAUAAGUGCCAAUGAUAACCAUGAGGUGCUCGCUGUUGCUGCCUAAUACGCAGUGAUAAGCGCGGUUCGGGAGGGCACCGGGCAACAGAAGCCCUCCCACU
rnacentral:tmRNA from 1 species